rnacentral:rRNA from 1 species
UACAGAGGGGGCAAGCGUUAUUCGGAAUUAUUGGGCGUAAAGGGCGCGUAGGCGGCUUGGCAAGUGGAUGGUGAAAUCCCUCGGCUUAACCGAGGAACUGCCGUCCAAACUGCUUCGCUUGAGACCGGGAGAGGUGAGUGGAAUUCCCAGUGUAGCGGUGAAAUGCGUAGAUAUUGGGAGGAACACCAGUGGCGAAGGCGGCUCACUGGACCGGUACUGACGCUGAUGCGCGAAAGCGUGGGUAGCAAACAGG